rnacentral:tRNA from 1 species
GGGCCGUUAGCUCAGUUGGUAGAGCGCUGCAUUCGCAUUGCAGAGAUCGCCGGUUCGAUUCCGGCACGGUCCA